GAUGAAGAACGUAGCGAAAUGCGAUAAGUAAUGUGAAUUGCAGAAUUCAGUGAAUCAUCGAAUCUUUGAACGCACAUUGCGCCCGCCAGUAUUCUGGCGGGCAUGCCUGUUCGAGCGUCAUUUCAACCAUCAGGCCCCCAGUGCCUGGUGUUGGGGAUCGGCCCAGCCUUCCUGUAAGGCCGCCGGCCCCGAAAUCUAGUGGCGGUCUCGCUGUAGUCCUCCUCUGCGUAGUAGCACAACCUCGCAGUUGGAACGCGGCGGUGGCCAUGCCGUUAAACACCCCACUUCUGAAAGUUGACCUCGGAUCAGGUAGGAAUACCCGCUGAACUUAAGCAUAUCAAUAAGCGGAGGA
rnacentral:misc_RNA from 1 species